CCGUACUGAUGCCUGCGGUUGCUGCGGCUACUGCUGCAUGGCCUGCACUACUUCGAUGAGGCCCCUGACCUGCUGAACCAGCAAGUCGAACUGCUCCAUGCCGACUGUCGUUGCCGGAGGAGGAGGAGCCUGGGAAACUGGAGACGUGGCCAGAGUUUGCGGAGCUCGCUGAGAUCUGGCCGUGGAGGUCAUGGAUCGCC
rnacentral:lncRNA from 1 species